rnacentral:rRNA from 1 species
AGUGGCGGACGGGUGAGUAACGCGUGGGGAACCUGACCCUGGUACAGGGGGAUAACACUUAGAAAUAGGUGCUAAUACCGCAUAAGCGCACAGUGUCGCAUGAUACAGUGUGAAAAACUCCGGUGGUACAGGAUGGACCCGCGUCUGAUUAGCUGGUUGGCGGGGUAACGGCCCACCAAGGCGACGAUCGGUAGCCGGCCUGAGAGGGUGAACGGCCACAUUGGGACUGAGACACGGCCCAAACUCCUACGGGAGGCAGCAG